rnacentral:lncRNA from 1 species
CUAAAGGCUUUGAUUCUACUAUUUUCCCCCACAUCUUUUAGAGAACAGGCUGCUGCUUUGCACACACAUAUAGCAUACUAAUAAGAUAUUAUUUUCCACCUCUCAGAUCUCUUUUGAAUUCAAAUAUACCUAUUAGCACCUUUACAACUCAGCUUAUGCACAUCCCAAGCCUAUGUGAUUAACUAUUUCUACUGUACCAUUUGGUGGGUGGCAUUGCAAAUUACAGAAUAAAUAACACAGGGAAACAGAGUUUUCUGCUGUGGGUCUUAACACUGUGUAUGGAAAAUGCAGAGAGAAAAAAAAAAGAGAGAGAUUUAAAGUCAUUUAGAUGUGCAUUAUUUAAGCUGGCAGGGAUCUAGGGCUUGUAAUUUUAAGGCUGUGUGUGGGUCAGGAGGGUGAGUGGUGAAGGGAAGCCUUGAUAAGGGUUUUGAAGGCUGUUUCAGGAGCAGAGGUCAGUACCAUACAAGUCUGUUGGAGGAAAUGUGUGUGGCUGAGAGCAGUGCCCCAAAGGAAGGUGCAGGGUGAGAGCUGGCCCAGGACACUCAGCAGGGUGGGCAUUGCAUUCCCUGACUCCGGCUGACCUAUUUGGCUUUUCCUGCUGGAGCAAGAUGAUGGUGGAAGAUGGAGACAGGCUUUGCAUGGGGCACUGAGGAAGGAAGAACAAGGGGAAACAAGAGCUUGUUUUGAUGUGGCUUGUUUUGAUGUCACAGUGAGGCAAAUCUGCCUGCAUGUCCCAGUGCCACAUUUGGGAGCAGCCCCUUGUCUGGCUGCAGAGGGCUCGUGAUGUGGGUGCAGAGGCAGUGAACUCACCCUGCUGCUCCUGGUAAACAGCUUCUCCACCAGCUCUGUGGGGGCCUGGGGCUGUCCUCAGCUGCCUUCUGAGAGCAGCUUCAAUACCUGAACAGUCUUAUCAUGUUUUAUGUUUCCAGGCAACUUUGAAGGCUGCACUCCACUCACAGGAGGGCAUCAAGGGUCUUUCUGCUGAAGACAAUAAAGGUGGUGACGCUGAAUGGAUUUGACAAUGAAGUAGAGUUGCAACAUGAGCAACUCCUGAAGUUAGGUACUUUCAAGACUAUUUUGGCUCCAUACUGGAGGUCUAAAAAAAAAGACAUGGAAAUUCAGUGGCACAAUUUCAAGGUUAUCCCACAGGCCAGCAAAUCCAUAAUGGGAUUUUUUUCUGCCCUUUAUGUUACAUCAUAAUAAAAGAAGUUGAUACAGUACGAAAGUGAAAGGCGGUUUCUCCCUAUCAAAUUAUCAUAUCCAGCGUCAACCCUGUGCUUGAAGGUAAUUCUAGCUAAUCCUUUGUAGCAAUAAAUAUCUAUUACAUUUAUCA